rnacentral:rRNA from 1 species
UCAGGAUGAACGCUAGCGGCAGGCUUAACACAUGCAAGUCGAGGGGCAUCGGGAGUAGCAAUACUGCCGGCGACCGGCGCAAGGGUGCGUAACGCGUGAGCAACAUGCCCGUAUCAGGGGGAUAAUCCAUGGAAACGUGGUCUAAUACCCCAUAGUAAUUAUGUAAGGCAUCUUAUAUAAUUUAAAGCUUUGGUGGAUACGGAUUGGCUCGCGUGACAUUAGCUGGAUGGUAAGGUAACGGCUUACCAUGGCUACGAUGUCUAGGGGUUCUGAGAGGAAGGUCCCCCACACUGGAACUGAGACACGGUCCAGACUCCUACGGGAGGCAGCAGUGAGGAAUAUUGGACAAUGGAUGGAAAUCUGAUCCAGCCAUGCCGCGUGCAAAAGAAGACGGCCCUAUGGGUUGUAAACUGCUUUUGUAUGGGAGCAAUAAGGGCUACGUGUAGUCCGAUGAGAGUACCAUACGAAUAAGCACCGGCUAACUCCGUGCCAGCCGCCGC